rnacentral:misc_RNA from 1 species
GGUAUUUAUAUGAAGCGAAAAGAAAAAAGAAAAAAGUGUUAUUUAAAUUAGAAUUGUCAUUUAUAUGGAAAAUCAAAAUUGAAAGAAGGGUAAAGGAACUGUACUUUUUCACUUUCAACUUUACUUUUACUCUUCACUUUUUUUCCUCUUUCUUCUCCUCUUUCUUCUCCUCUUUUUUCUCUUCCUUCUUCUCUUCCUUCUUCUCCUCUUUCUUCUCUUCCUUCUUCUCUUCCUUUGCAGGUCCAACUGAUAUUAUAUCCACUUUACCAACUUUCUUCAAUUUCUUCACAAUCGCCACCGCAUCCAUCGAUCCUAUCACCGUCAGUUUCUGAUCCUUCAGAUCCGCCGCGAUCGAAUCCACACCGUAGAUGUCGGCAGCAGCUUCGAUUGCCUUCUGCUUCGUCUUCUCGUCCGUCAUCGUCAUCACCUUCAGCACAACUUUCUGAGCCAUUUUAGUGAAAAGAAGGGGAAAAAGAGAAGAGGUCG